UACGUAGGCAGCAAGCGUUGUUCGGAGUUACUGGGCGUAAAGGGUGUGUAGGCGGUUUUUUAAGUUUGGUGUGAAAUCUCCCGGCUCAACUGGGAGGGUGCGCCGAAUACUGAAAGACUAGAGUGCGGGAGAGGAAAGUGGAAUUCCUGGUGUAGCGGUGAAAUGCGUAGAUAUCAGGAGGAACACCGGUGGUGUAGACGGCUUUCUGGACCGUAACUGACGACUGAGACACGA
rnacentral:rRNA from 1 species